GGAAGAGGAGACAGCUAGAAGCCACUACAGUGAUCCGGGAAGAUAAAGGUGCCGUGAUCAGAGCAAAGUGGUUCCAAACUCAGGCUGGGAAGCAGAGCAUUGUUCCUGAGCCCCCAAGAGGGUCCAGUGGGGUGAUGAAGUUUUGAGGUGAUAUUGGGGUGGGCUGGAGCCGACGACCAAGAGAGAAUUCUUGAAGACGUCUUUGGUGCAAAAAGGAAGGGAUGACAAGAGGAAGAAGAAUGGAAAGAACAAAGGGGCUGGAGAGAUGGAGGCAGGAGAGAAUGGGAGCAGCCUUUUGCCAGCUCACUUCACCCCAAAAAACAAUAGGACACUGCUGGAAAUGGAGGGCGUGCAAAUAUUAAAGUGAUUCUUUUUGGUGUGCUUUGAAAGUGAGUAGAUAAAGAUUAA